CUACGGGCGGCUGCAGUGGGGAAUAUUGGACAAUGGGGGAAACCCUGAUCCAGCAAUGCCGCGUGUGUGAAGAAGGCCUGCGGGUUGUAAAGCACUUUCGGUUGGGAGGACUGCUUCUAGCACUAAUAUUGUUGGAAGUUGACGUUACCUUCAGAAGAAGCACCGGAGAACUCCGUGCCAGCAGCCGCGGUGAAUACGGAGGGUGCAAGCGUUAAUCGGAAUUACUGGGCGUAGAGCGCGCGUAGGCGGCUAGAUCAGUCGGGUGUGAAAGCCCCGGGCUUAACCUGGGAACUGCAUCCGAUACUGUCUAGCUUGAGUACAGGAGAGGAGAGUGGAAUUCCACAUGUAGCGGUGAAAUGCGUAGAUAUGUGGAGGAACACCAAUGGCGAAGGCAGCUCUCUGGCCUGAUACUGACGCUGAGGUGCGAAAGCGUGGGGAGCAAACAGGAUUAGAUACCCCGGUAGUC
rnacentral:rRNA from 1 species